CGAACAAACUGAAAUUCAUGUGUUAAUUAAACAAUCAGUAUGAUGACUCACAUUGAAAUCAUGUCCAGUGCACCAGUCAGAGCAAGACAGCUAGCGGAUUGUUGACCAUCUACGGCUCAAGGACAAACGGUCAGGCCUACAAACAAAGAGAAAAAUGGCAUAAAUGGGUUGCAUGCAUGUAAUUUUGCAUAUUUUUCAUCUUGCUCUCCACCUGAAACUUCAAUCUAUGGACAUAAUAAUAUUUACAUUUAAGAUUUGUUGGAAAUGUUACCCUUACUUGUCCAUACCAGGUCCCCCACCCAUACGGAACCGUCUAAAACCACCUAAAACAUCCAUUUGGACCAAAAUAUUGACACCUCUCAUCUAUUUUAGCACCCAAAUCAUCAAAACAUUCAUUAAAAUUCAUGUUCUACUUGUCUCGCUUGCAGACGAAUCCAUGUGACCUUGACAUUGCAGUAAAUGUGCUUUUUAAAGGGAACUCAACUUUGUCCUAUCUUUUUCAAACUUUCUCCACAUGAGAUUUCAACUAUUUCCAC